GAAACGCCGACGAAAAAAGGGUCGUUACGGAGAAAUCAAACUCCUGAUAAACCUGAGUCGGAGAAGUUGUCGGAACGACGGAGAUGGUAAAUGAGAAGAAGAUGAAUGGAGCUUCGAACAUGGGGUGGAGGAGGGUUUAGGGCACUAUGUGUACAGUGGGGAGAAGAAUCACGUUUUAGCUGGGAUCGGGAUCUUCACCGUCAUCUUCGGCAUCCCUUGGUACCUUAUGAAUCAAGGAUCUAAUCAUCGGUCUCACCAAGAUUACAUGGAGAAGGCUGAUAAAGCGUCUCUCUUCAUCUUCAUCCUCUGACAAGUAGUCCAUAGGAACUUAACUCCGUAAUGUAAUGUCUGAGCCAGUUUGGUUUUUGUUCAGAUACGUACUCAUAAGUUUCUGUAUCAAAAUAAAUUGAAGAUUUCUCAUC